CCUACGGGGGGCAGCAGUGGGGAAUAUUGGACAAUGGGGGGAACCCUGAUCCAGCCAUGCCGCGUGUGUGAAGAAGGCCCUCGGGUUGUAAAGCACUUUCAGUGAGGAAGAACGCCUGGUGGUUAAUACCCAUCAGGAAAGACAUCACUCACAGAAGAAGCACCGGCUAACUCCGUGCCAGCAGCCGCGGUAAUACGGAGGGUGCGAGCGUUAAUCGGAAUUACUGGGCGUAAAGCGCGCGUAGGUGGCUUGAUAAGCCGGUUGUGAAAGCCCCGGGCUCAACCUGGGUACGGCAUCCGGAACUGUCAAGCUAGAGUGCAGGAGAGGAAGGUAGAAUUCCCGGUGUAGCGGUGAAAUGCGUAGAGAUCGGGAGGAAUACCAGUGGCGAAGGCGGCCUUCUGGACUGACACUGACACUGAGGUGCGAAAGCGUGGGUAGCAAACAGGAUUAGAUACCCCAGUAGUC
rnacentral:rRNA from 1 species